UGGCUCAGUCGGUAAAGCAUUUGCCUGCAAUGCAGGAGACCUGGGUUUGAUUCCUGG
rnacentral:tRNA from 1 species